rnacentral:rRNA from 1 species
GAUGAACGCUGGCGGCGUGCCUAAUACAUGCAAGUCGAGCGAACGGACGAGAAGCUUGCUUCUCUGAUGUUAGCGGCGGACGGGUGAGUAACACGUGGAUAACCUACCUAUAAGACUGGGAUAACUUCGGGAAACCGUAGCUAAUACCGGAUAAUAUUUUGAACCGCAUGGUUCAAAAGUGAAAGACGGUCUUGCUGUCACUUAUAGAUGGAUCCGCGCUGCAUUAGCUAGUUGGUAAGGUAACGGCUUACCAAGGCAACGAUGCAUAGCCGACCUGAGAGGGUGAUCGGCCACACUGGAACUGAGACAAGGUCCAGACUCCUACGGGAGGCAGCAGUAGGGAAUCUUCCGCAAUGGGCGAAAGCCUGACGGAGCAACGCCGCGUGAGUGAUGAAGGUCUUCGGAUCGUAAAACUCUGUUAUUAGGGAAGAACAUAUGUGUAAGUAACUGUGCACAUCUUGACGGUACCUAAUCAGAAAGCCACGGCUAACUACGUG